rnacentral:rRNA from 1 species
ACGAACGCUGGCGGCGUGCUUAACACAUGCAAGUCGAACGGAAAGGCCUCUUUCGGGGGGUACUCGAGUGGCGAACGGGUGAGUAACACGUGAGUAACCUGCCCUUGACUUUGGGAUAACUUCAGGAAACUGGGGCUAAUACCGGAUAGGAGCUCCUGCUGCAUGGUGGGGGUUGGAAAGUUUCGGCGGUUGGGGAUGGACUCGCGGCUUAUCAGCUUGUUGGUGGGGUAGUGGCUUACCAAGGCUUUGACGGGUAGCCGGCCUGAGAGGGUGACCGGCCACAUUGGGACUGAGAUACGGCCCAGACUCCUACGGGAGGCAGCAGUGGGGAAUAUUGCACAAUGGGUGGAAGCCUGAUGCAGCAACGCCGUGUGCGGGAUGACGGCCUUCGGGUUGGAAACCGCUUUCGCUCAUGACGAAGCUUUGUGUGACGGUAGUGGGUAAAGAAGCACCGGCUAACUACGUG